rnacentral:lncRNA from 1 species
AACCUCAAAUCAUCAGACUUAAAUUUACAGUUCUAAUCCUCCUCGUUGUUGGACAGAAAUAGAGUAGAAAAGUAGUAUAUGGCAAGUAUUCAUUAAUCAACAUUAGUAAAAAAAGUAAAUACGUAUUACAUGCCAUACUUAAAGUUCUUACAAUUAAAAAAAAUCAGUCCAACACAUACAUUCAUCCUGCUUUUACUUUUGGCCCAACAAGACACAAUACUUAGGCUACUUAGUUGAAUGGGCCAGCAAUUUUGAUAACCUGGGCCUAGGCCGAGAUUUCUCUUUUGGGGCACUAGAGCCUAGUGACCUUCUUAAGCUUAGACGUGAUCUGAGCCGCCAUGCUAAACAAAAAAAAACCCCAGAUGUGAGUACGAGUGUCAUGAUCUUUCGAUGGAGAGAGAACUUCGAUUUGAUAACAGAGAUGUUCACGACAAACUAAAGUCAUCCAAGGACGAUGCAACUCAGUGACUGAUGCACUGCAGUUGUUCACGAUCUAGCAUGACCAAAAUCAAACCACUAAGGUUACUCCUGCAAGCAAUUAAAGAACAAGCAAGAAUAAGUAGAACAAGGGCUCGAAUGCAAAUAUAAGAUGAUGGUUUAGAUCUGAUACACGAAGAUGGGAUUCCGAAUCAAGUAGAACGAAUAGUCUAAUCGACACACGUGUCUAUAAGGAAGUAGCAAGAGCUAAAUUUACAUCAAAACAAAAAUCCAAUCUGUUCUUGGUGGCCAUAGAUGCAUACGAGUCGAUAGGAGGAUAACCAAAGGGGUGUUAGAGUCGUUCUCCAGCCUUAGGACGUGUCCCUAGUGGACCCAACUUGAUACAUAGGUUUGCAACUCAAAAUAGGGUGACACAAUAUCAUAGGAAGAAAAGUCUCGACAUUAAAAGCAACAAAUGUGCCGAAUUCUAAUAAGAUAUGCAUCGGAAAGUAGGCUUGCUAAGAUUUCCAUGAAGUACUAGAGCAACCCAAUC